GACGAACGCUGGCGGCGUGCUUAACACAUGCAAGUCGAACGGAAAGGCCCUGCUUUUGUGGGGUGCUUGAGUGGCGAACGGGUGAGUAACACGUGAGUAACCUGCCCUUGACUUUGGGAUAACUUCAGGAAACUGGGGCUAAUACCGGAUAGGAGCUCCUGCUGCAUGGUGGGGGUUGGAAAGUUUCGGCGGUUGGGGAUAGACUCGCGGCUUAUCAGCUUGUUGGUGGGGUAGUGGCUUACCAAGGCUUUGACGGGUAGCCGGCCUGAGAGGGUGACCGGCCACAUUGGGACUGAGAUACGGCCCAGACUCCUACGGGAGGCAGCAGUGGGGAAUAUUGCACAAUGGGCGGAAGCCUGAUGCAGCAACGCCGCGUGCGGGAUGACGGCCUUCGGGUUGUAAACCGCUUUCGCCUGUGACGAAGCGUGAGUGACGGUAAUGGGUAAAGAAGCACCGGCUAACUACGUG
rnacentral:rRNA from 1 species